UGCAGAAUCCCGUGAACCAUCGAGUCUUUGAACGCAAGUUGCGCCCGAUGCCAUUAGGUUGAGGGCACGUCUGCCUGGGUGUCACAUAUCGAAGCCUCCUGCCAAUUUCCCUUUGAUUAUUGUGCAGGGUGGACGUUGGCCUCCCGUGAACUCUUUUUGGUCAUGGUUGGUUGAAAAUUGAGACCUUGGUAGGGUGUGCCAUGAUAGAUGGUGGUUGUGUGAUCCACGAGACCAAUCAUGUGCUGCUCUAUUAAAUAUGGCCUCUUUUACCCAUAUGCGUUUCUAAACGCUCGUGAUGAGACCUCAGGUCAGGCGGGGCUACCCGCUGAAUUUAAGCAUAUCAAUAAGCGGAGGAAAAGAAACUAACAAGGAUUCCCUUAGUAACGGCGAGCGAACCGGGAUAAGCCCACCAUGAGAAUCGGUCGCCCUCGGCGUUCGA
rnacentral:rRNA from 1 species